rnacentral:rRNA from 1 species
GGACCUGCGGAAGGAUCAGUUAAUAGGAGUAAGGGUGCUCAGCGCCCGACCUCCAACCCUUUGUUGUUAAAACUACCUUGUUGCUUUGGCGGGACCGCUCGGUUCCGAGCCGCUGGGGAUUCGUCCCAGGCGAGCGCCCGCCAGAGUUAAACCAAACUCUUGUUAUUUAAACCGGUCGUCUGAGUUAAAAUUUUGAAUAAAUCAAAACUUUCAACAACGGAUCUCUUGGUUCUCGCAUCGAUGAAGAACGCAGCGAAAUGCGAUAAGUAAUGUGAAUUGCAGAAUUCAGUGAAUCAUCGAAUCUUUGAACGCACAUUGCGCCCCUUGGUAUUCCGAGGGGCAUGCCUGUUCGAGCGUCAUUACACCACUCAAGCUAUGCUUGGUAUUGGGUGCCGUCCUUAGUUGGGCGCGCCUUAAAGACCUCGGCGAGGCCUCACCGGCUUUAGGCGUAGUAGAAUUUAUUCGAACGUCUGUCAAAGGAGAGGACUUCUGCCGACUGAAACCUUUUAUUUUUUCUAGGUUGACCUCGGAUCAGGUAGGGAUACCCGCUGAACUUAAGCAUAUCAAUAGGCCGGAGGAACGGA